rnacentral:rRNA from 1 species
AUUGAUUUUAUGCUUGCAUAAAUGAUUUUUUGGAUUCGGAGCGAGUGGCGAACUGGUGAGUAACACGUGGGUAACCUGCCCCGAAGCGGGGGAUAACAUUUGGAAACAAGUGCUAAUACCGCAUAAUUAGUUGGAACCGCAUGGUUCCAACUUGAAAGAUGGCUCUGCUAUCACUUUGGGAUGGACCCGCGCCGUAUUAGUUAGUUGGUGAGAUAAAAGCCCACCAAGACGAUGAUACGUAGCCGACCUGAGAGGGUAAUCGGCCACAUUGGGACUGAGACACGGCCCAGACUCCUACGGGAGGCAGCAGUAGGGAAUCUUCCACAAUGGACGAAAGUCUGAUGGAGCAACGCCGCGUGAGUGAUGAAGGUUUUCGGAUCGUAAAACUCUGUUGUUAAAGAAGAACAAGUGUUAGAGUAACUGUUAACACUUUGACGGUAUUUAACCAGAAAGCCACGGCUAACUACGUGCCAGCAGCCGCGGUAAUACGUAGGUGGCAAGCGUUGUCCGGAUUUAUUGGGCGUAAAGCGAGCGCAGGCGGUUUUGUAAGUCUGCUGUGAAAGCCCUCAGCUCAACUGAGGAAGUGCAGUGGAAACUACAAAACUUGAGUACAGAAGAGGAAAGUGGAACUCCAUGUGUAGUGGUGAAAUGCGUAGAUAUAUGGAAGAACACCAGUGGCGAAGGCGGCUUUCUGGUCUGUUACUGACGCUGAGGCUCGAAAGCAUGGGUAGCGAACAGGAUUAGAUACCCUGGUAGUCCAUGCCGUAAACGAUGAAUACUAGGUGUUGGAGGGUUUCCGCCCUUCAGUGCCGCAGCUAACGCAUUAAGUAUUCCGCCUGGGGAGUACGACCGCAAGGUUGAAACUCAAAGGAAUUGACGGGGGCCCGCACAAGUGGUGGAGCAUGUGGUUUAAUUCGAUGCUACGCGAAGAACCUUACCAGCUCUUGACAUCUUCUGCCAACCCAAGAGAUUGGGCGUUCCCUUCGGGGACAGAAUGACAGGUGGUGCAUGGUUGUCGUCAGCUCGUGUCGUGAGAUGUUGGGUUAAGUCCCGCAACGGGCGCAACCCUUAUUAUUAGUUGCCAGCAUUUAGUUGGGCACUCUAGUGAGACUGCCGGUGAUAAA